rnacentral:sRNA from 1 species
GGAUUCCUUUUAAAAUUGGGCAGCCCAAGAAACAGAUUGUGCCCAAAACAGUGGAGAGAGACUUUGAAAGGGAGUAUGGAAAACUUCAGCAGCUGGAAGAGCAGACCCGGAGGCUGCAGAAAGACAUGAAGAAGAGCACCGACGCCGACCUGGCCAUGUCAAAAUCUGCCGUGAAGAUAUCCUUGGACUUACUCUCCAAUCCCCUCUGUGAGCAAGACCAGGACCUUCUGAACAUGGUGACGGCCCUGGACACGGCCAUGAAGCGGAUGGAUGCCUUCAAUCAGGAAAAGGUGAACCAGAUCCAGAAGACUGUGAUCGAGCCCUUAAAAAAGUGAGUAAAUGUCACCUGGGGGCCUCGGGGCACUUAUGGGAGAGGCAGGUCAGCGGCCACUUGGGGACUGAAGAGGAUUUCUAGCUGCCUGUCCCCAGAUUCCCAUGGGGCCUGACGGGAAACUCAGUGGGGACGUCAGCUCUGUGACCUGUGGCCUAAGCGUCCAUGCUCCUGAGGGCUCCAGAGUACCCACAUGGCCCAGGCGAGCUCAGGGUACCCCUGCCACCACCCCCUUCCCACCCCACCCAGCAACCGCCGCU